AAUCAACUUUGUCAAGAUUUGAGAAUUGAUUUGCUAACAUUUCAACUAUCCUUUCUGCUUCAGGACUAAUAACAAAAGAAGGUACAUCUGAUGCAUCGAUCGAAUUUGGAAAUCCAGGAAUUAAUAUUUCUUCGUCAUUUUGAGUAGGUGGAAGUUUUAUCACCCCUUUAUGUACAUGGUAAUAAAGAUUAUCCACUACACAAUUUUGUGUGAAAAAUGCAGCACUAAUUAAUCCAAAUUGUUUUGCAACUUCAACAGCCCAAGGAAUGAAUGGAUCAUAUACUAUGCAAUUUACAGGACAAUCACUAUUUUCCAAUUUUUUAAUAAGCUGAGACAGAGUAUCCGAACCAACUUCUUUGAAUCGUGUUAUGUAGGCUACGAAAUUUUCUGCUUGAUGGAAACCACCAUCAUCGUAGCCAUCAGAAAUCGCCUCGAUUGAUACUGAAGUUGACAAUUCUUGCAUUGUUUUCAAACAGGAUUUUGUGAGUGCUAUAGUGAUUUUAACGCGUUUGGAUUGUAAACGUUUGGAGAAUUGAAGCAUUGGGUUGAUAUGACCUUGGCCUGGAAAUGGCAAAAUUAAGCAAUGAGCUUUGUGAGUAUUCAUUUUUUAUUUUUUAUUUUUUGCAACUUCUCAAUGAAUUGAGUUAAUAAUAAUAGAUAGGAUGAGAAAAAUUAUGUGGUUGUUAUAGUUAGGUGAUAGAGUUUGAAGUGUCUUUUUGGCUUAUUUUGUCUAUUAUUGAUACAAAGUUUUUAUUGCAAACAUGUGUAAUAAAUAUGCCAAUAUAUAUUGUUUGAUAUAUUACUUGGAAUCUAGGGAUAUCACUUUUAUUUUGAGGGAUAAAGAAUAACUAAUCUCAAGAUUAAUUUUGAUGAUUAUGUUUGGCUAAUUUUGAAAUAAUUAAUUUCGAGAUAACUCGAUUCCUAACCAACAUGUACAGUGACACAAGUGUUAAGAAGUCCCAUAUCGGUAAAGGAAUGAAAAUUUGAUCUCCUUAUAUGGACUUAGACAAACAUCUCCUUAUAAACUAAUUUUUGAGGUUGAGUUAGACACAGAUAACAAAACUUAAUAAUAAACGAUAUCAUUUAAAAUGUUGUCUAAAAAAAGUGACACAAUUUAUUACUUUACUUGGAAGAUGCCUUUUUGUAGACAUUUACUUUUAAUUACUGAAUUUAAAUAAUAAAAUAUUUUGAUUGUAUCUUAAAUUCAAAUAAUCAUAUAAUUUGCAAUAAAAAUUACGGACCGAUAUAACUGAAUUUAUGUAAAAGGGUUAAAAAUAUUCUUAAAUUAUGUAAAAUUAAAUAAAAAUAUUCUUAACUAAUAACUUGGUUUAAAAUGCUAUUGUCGUCAAUAGUUUAAUUCAAAAAUAUUCUUAUUGUUACUUAAUUAACGAAUUACUUAUCCACCGUCUAGCUCCCCUCUCUCGCUUCCUGUUCCCCAAAAUAUCAAAUAAUAUUAAGAUCAUAAUUACUCACUCUUUAAUAUAAAUGCAUAAUAAUUAUAAUUAACGUGAAAUUUGUGUUGUGUGUCAUUUAAAAAAAUAUAAAAGAAAGGAUACUAGGAAGAUUCAGGUCAAACUUUGGUAAUUCAAUAAGAAAAAGAAAUUACAAAAUACAAAUCCAUUUCUUGAUUAUUUUUAUGGCUCUUAAUUAACUUUUUUAUUACUUAGAGAUAUAUUAACCAACUUAUAGCUUGUUACAUAAAUAGUCUUAGCAAAUGUCAUCAAUCCAUACCAUCAAUAGACACUAUUACAAAUUAUAGCUUGUUACAUAAAUAGACAUAUUAUAGCUUGUUACAUAAACAGUCAAUUUAUAGCUUAUUACAUAAAUAGUCUUAACAAAUGUCAUCAAUCCAUACCAUCAAUAGACACUAUUACGAAUUAUAGCUUGUUACAUAAAUAGCCGAAUAAUAGCUUUAUAGCUUGUUACACUUGUUACAUAAAUAGCCAAAAUAUUUGCUUGUUACAUAAAUAGCCAAUUUUUAGCUUGUUACAUAAAUAGACAAAUUAUAGCUUGUUACAUAAAUAGUCUUAGCAAAUAUCAUCAAUCCAUACCAUCAAUAGACACUAUUACAAAUUAUAGCUUGUUACAUAAAUAGCCAAAUUAGAGCUUGUUACAUAAAUAGCCAAUUUAGAGCUUGUUACAUAAAUAGCCAAAUUUUUAGCUUCUUAUAUAAAUAGCCAAAUUAUAGCUUGUAACAUAAAUAGCCAAAUUAUAGCUUGUUACAUAAAUAGUCUUAGCAAAUGUCAUCAAUCCAUACCAUCAAUAGACACCAUUACAAAUUAUAGCUUGUUACAUAAAUAGCCAAAUUAGAGCUUGUUACAUAAAUAGCCAAUAUAUAGCUUAUUAUAUAAAUAGCCAAUUUUUAGCUUGUUACAUAAAUAGCCAAAUUGUUUUAGCCUUCCACAAUAAUAGGUAAAAGGUAGAAAAUAAAGGAAGAUUCAAGUCAAUAUCCUACUUAGAAGAAAUAGUCAUCAACUUGGAAACAAAUUCUUCAAUGUUUUUAUCUGAACUUCCUCCUUCAUUCACAACAUUUCUAGCUAUUUCCUUCCAUUUCUUUGCAUUUUCUCUAAUUAGUUUUCCUUUAUCUUCUUCCAUCACUAGCUUUAUACAUUCCUCUAUAACUUCUCUUCUAACUACCCCUUUUUCAUCUUGUUUGGCUCUAACACCUAUUUCCCAAACAUCUUUCACAAGCUUUGCAUUUGUUGGUUGAUCUGUCCAUUGUGGCAUUGUCACUAUUGGCACUCCCAAACUAAUUUCUUCCAGUGUCGAAUUCCAUCCACAGUGCGUUAGAAAACAUCCUAUCGACUCAUGUUCCAACACUUGUAAUUGUGGACACCAUGACACCACUAGUCCUUUUUCAAUUGUUAAUUCCUCUAAAAAGUUGUUGGGAAGUUUAGAUUCUUCAUUAGACCUAACAACCCACAAGAAGCUCUUGUUGCUAUUCUUCAAACCCCAUGCCAAUUCUUCCAUUUGCUCACUUCCUAGUUUGGCUAAACUUCCAAAUGAUACAUACAACACUGAGCUAAUUGGUUGAUGGUUUAACCAAUUUAGGCAUUCAUUUGUCAUUGGCUUGAACAUACUAAGCCCAUACUCUUUAUCAUCAUGUAGUCUCUUGUCUAAGUACAUUGAUGGUAUUGUUGGUCCAAUUGUCUUUAUUGGAUAUAUCUUCGACAUCCAAUCAAUUACCUACGUGACAAACAAUUAGCAGAUGCAUACAUAUCUUAUUUUAAUUGAGUUUAAGAGUUCACUUGAUUGAAAAAGAGCAAAAAGAUUCAAAAUACAAACUCAUACAAGUAUAAGAAUUUUCAUCAGACUAUUUCGUUAUAUUUUUAUCAGGUAAUACUUAUCUUUUAAAAUGAAAAAUAGUGACUUACAAACAUAGAAAAAGAACAAAAAGAUGAAGAGUAUUUGUGUUACCUCUUUCUCCAAUUCAUAAAAGCUAUUGAUUAAUACCCAAUCAGUUUUCUCAAGAUUUGAGAAUUAAUUCACCAAUAGUUCAAUUAAUUUAUCUGUUUCAGGACUUGACUCAAAACUAGGUACAUAUGAACUUUCGAUUGUACAUGAUAAUCCAGGAAUUAAUAUUUUUUCAUCACUUUUAGUAGGUGGAAGUUUUAUUACCCCUUUAUGUGCAUGGUAAUAAAUAUUAUCCACUACACAAUUUUGUGUGAAAAAUGCAGCACUAAUUAAUCCAAAUUGUUUUGCAACUUCAACAGCCCAAGGAAGGAAUGGAUCAUAUACUAUGCAAUUUACAUGACAUCCACUUUUUGCCAAUUU
rnacentral:lncRNA from 1 species